UACGUAGGGUGCAAGCGUUAAUCGGAAUUACUGGGCGUAAAGCGUGCGCAGGCGGUUUUGUAAGCCAGAUGUGAAAUCCCCGGGCUUAACCUGGGAAUGGCAUUUUGGGACUGCAAGGCUUGAGUGCGGCAGAGGAGACUGGAAUUCCUGGUGUAGCAGUGAAAUGCGUAGAUAUCAGGAGGAACACCGAUGGCGAAGGCAGGU
rnacentral:rRNA from 1 species